AUUGAACGCUGGCGGCAUGCUUUACACAUGCAAGUCGGACGGCAGCAUGAAAGAGCUUGCUCUUUUGAUGGCGAGUGGCGAACGGGUGAGUAAUACAUCGGAACGUGCCCGGACGUGGGGGAUAACUACUCGAAAGAGUGGCUAAUACCGCAUACGAUCCAAGGAUGAAAGCGGGGGAUCGCAAGACCUCGCGCGUUUGGAGCGGCCGAUGGCAGAUUAGGUAGUUGGUGAGGUAAAGGCUUACCAAGCCUGCGAUCUGUAGCUGGUCUGAGAGGACGACCAGCCACACUGGGACUGAGACACGGCCCAGACUCCUACGGGAGGCAGCAGUGGGGAAUUUUGGACAAUGGGCGAAAGCCUGAUCCAGCCAUGCCGCGUGCAGGAUGAAGGCCUUCGGGUUGUAAACUGCUUUUGUACGGAACGAAAAGGUCUUUUCUAAUAAAGAAGGCUCAUGACGGUACCGUAAGAAUAAGCACCGGCUAACUACGUG
rnacentral:rRNA from 1 species